UACGUAGGGUGCAAGCGUUAAUCGGAAUUACUGGGCGUAAAGCGUGCGCAGGCGGCUUUGCAAGACAGAUGUGAAAUCCCCGGGCUUAACCUGGGAACUGCAUUUGUGACUGCAUGGCUGGAGUGCGGCAGAGGGGGAUGGAAUUCCACGUGUAGCAGUGAAAUGCGUAGAGAUGUGGAGGAACACCGAUGGCGAAGGCAGCCCCCUGGGCUAACACUGACGCUCAUGCACGAAAGCGUGGGGAGCAAACAGG
rnacentral:rRNA from 1 species